GAAUAUGGGGGGACCAUCCUCCAAGGCUAAAUACUCCUGACUGACCGAUAGUGAACCAGUACCGUGAGGGAAAGGCGAAAAGAACCCCGGCGAGGGGAGUGAAAAAGAACCUGAAACCGUGUACGUACAAGCAGUGGGAGCACGCUUAGGCGUGUGACUGCGUACCUUUUGUAUAAUGGGUCAGCGACUUAUAUUCUGUAGCAAGGUUAACCGAAUAGGGGAGCCGAAGGGAAACCGAGUCUUAACUGGGCGUUAAGUUGCAGGGUAUAGACCCGAAACCCGGUGAUCUAGCCAUGGGCAGGUUGAAGGUUGGGUAACACUAACUGGAGGACCGAACCGACUAAUGUUGAAAAAU
rnacentral:rRNA from 1 species